rnacentral:rRNA from 1 species
GCAUAUCAAUAAGCGGAGGAAAAGAAACCAACAGGGAUUGCCCUAGUAACGGCGAGCGAAGCGGCAACAGCUCAAAUUUGAAAUCUGGCUAUUUUGUAGUCCGAGUUGUAAUUUGUAGAGGAUGCUUUUGGUGAGGUGCCUUCCGAGUUCCCUGGAACGGGACGCCAGAGAGGGUGAGAGCCCCGUACGGUUGGAUACCAAACCUUUGUAUAGCUCCUUCGACGAGUCGAGUAGUUUGGGAAUGCUGCUCUAAAUGGGAGGUAUAUCUCUUCUAAAGCUAAAUAUAGGCUAGAGACCGAUAGCGCACAAGUAGAGUGAUCGAAAGAUGAAAAGCACUUUGAAAAGAGAGUUAAACAGCACGUGAAAUUGUUGAAAGGGAAGCGCCUAUGACCAGACUUGUUUCUUUCAGUUUUGUUAGUUUUCGGACUGAUUUACUCUGUUAGUACAGGCCAGCAUCAGUUUGUUGUCAGGGAGAAAGGCUUAGGGAAUGUGGCUCUUUCGGGAGUGUUAUAGCCCUUUGCAUAAUACCUUUCGGCAGACUGAGGACCGCGCUUCGGCAAGGAUGCUGGCGUAAUGGUCAUCAGCGACCCGUCUUGAAACACGGACCAAGGAGUCAACCUUAUGUGCGAGUGUUUGGGUGUAAAACCCCAGCGCGUAAUGAACGUGAACGUAGGUGAGAGCUUCGGCGCAUCAUCGACCGAUUCUGAUGUUCUCGGAUGGAUUUGAGUAAGAGCACACAGGGUUGGACCCGAAAGAAGGUGAACUAUGCUUGUAUAGGGUGAAGCCAGAGGAAACUCUGGUGGAGGCUCGCAGCGGUUCUGACGUGCAAAUCGAUCGUCAAAUAUGAGCAUGGGGGGCGAAAGACUAAUCGAACCUUCUAGUAGCUGGUUUCCAGCCG